GUCACUUUGGCGGAGUGGUUAACGCGCUGCCCUGCUAGCUGAAUCAGUAGUCUAGGCAGUUCCCUCGGGAGCACAGGUUCGAAUCCUGUAGGUGACG